rnacentral:rRNA from 1 species
UGAGAACCCAAAAGAUCGAAUGGGGAGAUUCAUCGUCAGCUCAUUUUGUAUAUGUAUAAGUUACGAUGCGGGUUACUACUUGUAGUAUUGCCUGCACGUUCUUGUAUAUUUUAUUGCAAGAUGUUGUCGGCGUGCACUUCUUCCCUAGUAGGACGUCGCGACCCGUUGGGUGUCGGUCUACGGCCCAAGUGAUAGCCUUUAAUGUAAUUUAAAAAUCAUUGAAGAUCCUUGGUGUUUUCUGACCGGCUACUUGGCGGUAUUCGUACGGUAUUUAGCCGCUAAUUUAUUAGCGUCCAUGUCCGUCACAAGCGAGGCUAAUUUACUGAUAGUGCGGACCUAGUGCCGUCGUUGGUAUUGGCCAGCUGUUGGUUGUACGUGAUUCUGGGACUGGCUAAAAUUAAUUACCGGUCGGCGAUGCUACUGCUUUGGGUACUUUCAGGACCCGUCUUGAAACACGGCACAAA